rnacentral:tRNA from 1 species
GGGGUCAUAGCUCAGUUGGGAGAGCAGCAGACUGAAGAGUUGAAUUCUGAAGGUCCCCAGUUCAAUCCUGGGUGACCCCA